CGAUACGGUUCGACGGAUGAUCGAUAGUUUAUCUUUCGAUUUUCCAAAAGUUAUCCGAAACAAAAUACGACCGAUCGACGAUGUAUAAGUUGACGUGACAUUUUACCGGAUGUUUUAUUCGACUCUCUGCGGAUGGUCGAACGAAAAAUUUGGAAAAGGAAUUUCAAGGAAUUUAAACAUGCGGAAUCAUCCAGCGGAGGAGUCAACGAAUGAUAAUUGAUGACGAAGAUCGUCUUUUUGAAACAUCCAUCGAACGAAACGAAGAAAAUAAAAACUUGAAACAUCCUCAGACCGCAAAGACUUUACGAUAAAAUAAUUAAUUAUUUUAUUUUACUUAAUUAAUUUCGUUACGACCGAAGAUUUUUCCAAGUUGAAAUUGGGAGGGAGAAAAACUGUUGAUGAAAAGAACGAAUUUCAAGGUGAACUUUGGUUGAAAAUUUCAUACGCGUAACCGUACGAGAUAAAGAAAAAACGAAAUCGAAGAAAUUAUUUUUUGAGGUAUGUAAAGAAAAAGUCCGAAAGAGGGGAUUUUUUUAACCGAAGGAUUCGAUCUGACGUGAAUUUAAAGUGCCAUAUUUAUUCUUGAGAAGAAUAUAAGGAGAUAAAAGAAAAAUACAAACAAGGAAACGAGUCAAGUUGGAAAAAUUCGACGGAAUUGAAAAUAGAAAAAAAUCGACAAAGGAACUAACUUAUUAACAUAAUAACAACGAAAAACGACUACAGUCCAAACGACGGAAGAAAUUUGACUACUUUUAUGUAAAAACUACCCCAACGAUAUGUAAAAGUUUAGUCACGUUCUUCCAAAUCCGAAAUAAAUAUCAGACGUAUAAAGAAACUGAUAUAAAAUUAAUAAUUAACAAUAAACACUGGGUCGAAUCGAGUAUUGAAGAAAUUUUGAUUACCCCAAAAAUUUGCAAUACUUGAUCACGAGUGUUUUGAUAAUCGAGAAUCGAUUUCAUAUACAGUGCCUAUGUAACAA
rnacentral:lncRNA from 1 species